UACAGAGGGGGCAAGCGUUGUUCGGAAUUACUGGGCGUAAAGGGCGCGUAGGCGGCCUUCUAAGUCGAACGUGAAAUCCCUGGGCUCAACCCAGGAACUGCGUCCGAUACUGGCAGGCUUGAAUCCGGGAGAGGGAUGUGGAAUUCCAGGUGUAGCGGUGAAAUGCGUAGAUAUCUGGAGGAACACCGGUGGCGAAGGCGGCAUCCUGGACCGGUAUUGACGCUGAGGCGCGAAAGCUAGGGGAGCAAACGGG
rnacentral:rRNA from 1 species